GUAGUUAGCCGGGGCUUCCUUGUGGAUUACCGUCACUUCCUUCGUCUCUGAGGACAGAGGUUUACAACCCGAAAGCCUUCUUCCCUCACGCGGCGUUGCUGGGUCAGGCUUGCGCCCAUUGCCCAAUAUUCCCCACUGCUGCCUCCCGUAGGAGUCUGGACCGUAUCUCAGUUCCAGUGUGGCCGGCCUGCCUCUCAGCACGGCUACCCAUCAUCGGUUUGGUGGGCCGUUACCCCGCCAACUGCCUAAUGGGACGCGAGCCCUUCCUUCAGCGGAUUGCUCCUUUGACCCCUUGGAGAUGCCUCCUUGUGGUCUUACGCGGUAUUAGCACUGAUUUCUCAAUGUUAUCCCCCUCUGAAGGGCCGGUUGCUCACGUGUUACUCACCCGUUCGCCACUAACUCUGCUUCUGUCCGAAAACUUCCGCUUCGUCCGUUCGACUUGCAUGUGUUAAGCGCGCCGCCAGCGUCGUCCUGAGCCAGGAUACAACUACUAGA
rnacentral:rRNA from 1 species